CUGGAGUACAUCUGUUAUGACACAUUUGAAGAAGCAGAUACAGUUGUAUGGGAUCCAGAUGACAGCCUUGUUAGAAUAGAUCAGGAUGAGGCGGCAGUAACCAUUGGGAGUACUGAGAUGUAUGGAGGGACUGAACAGGCUUCACAACUCCUGUUGCCUUCUGCCAAUGAACUGGCUUCACAAGUUGUACAGUCCCUACAAGAGGAGGGAGCGCAGACUGCACAGGAUAAUGGACGACAUCGUUUACCGCAAGACUUGUUCUCAAUUUCAAGCAGUCAGCUAUCCCCUUCAACCUCACCUAACAAUCUAGGAGAUCCAAGGACACCAUGGCAUGCAUCCAUUUGUAGGAUCAAGGUUGUUGAUGAUCUUUUGUCUGUGUUUAUGGACAGCAGCAUAAUGGAAUUCAAUUUAAAGAUUAAGUUUGUAAAUGAAAAAGCUAUUGAUGAUGCUGGUGUGUCAAGGGAGGGCUACAGUGCAUUCUGGGAACAAUUUCUUGAACAGUGUGAAGGGGAAACAGAGCGGGUUCCAAGGCUAAGGCCAGAUUUCUGUGAGGCUGAAUGGCAAGCGGUUGGGCGGAUCUGGGUGAAAGGAUUAUUAGACCAUGGUGUCAUGCCAGUGAGGCUAUCAAAGGCUUUCAUGUUAGCCUGCAUCCAUGGCAUUGACUCAGUUGAUCGAGACGUCCUAAUUUCAUCAUUCCUUAACUACCUUCCUCCCAUUGAGAGGUCAGCAGUUGACAAGGGCCUCCAGGGCACAAUGGAGGAAAGUGAUGAAGA